UACGGAGGGUGCAAACGUUGCUCGGAAUCAUUGGGCGUAAAGUGAACGUAGGCGGCUAUGUAAGUCGGGUGUGAAAGCCCUCGGCUCAACCGAGGAAGUGCAUUCGAAACUGCAUGGCUUGAGUAUCGGAGAGGAUAGCGGAAUUCCCGGUGUAGAGGUGAAAUUCGUAGAUAUCGGGAGGAACACCAGUGGCGAAGGCGGCUAUCUGGACGAAUACUGACGCUGAAGUUCGAAAGCGUGGGGAGCAAACAGG
rnacentral:rRNA from 1 species